rnacentral:rRNA from 1 species
CUACGGGGCGCACCAGUGGGGAAUAUUGCACAAUGGGCGCAAGCCUGAUGCAGCCAUGCCGCGUGUAUGAAGAAGGCCUUCGGGUUGUAAAGUACUUUCAGCGGGGAGGAAGGGAGUAAAGUUAAUACCUUUGCUCAUUGACGUUACCCGCAGAAGAAGCACCGGCUAACUCCGUGCCAGCAGCCGCGGUAAUACGGAGGGUGCAAGCGUUAAUCGGACUUACUGGGCGUAAAGCGCACGCAGGCGGUUUGUUAAGUCAGAUGUGAAAUCCCCGGGCUCAACCUGGGAACUGCAUCUGAUACUGGCAAGCUUGAGUCUCGUAGAGGGGGGUAGAAUUCCAGGUGUAGCGGUGAAAUGCGUAGAGAUCUGGAGGAAUACCGGUGACGAAGGCGGCCCCCUGGACGAAGACUGACGCUCAGGUGCGAAAGCGUGGGGAGCAAACAGGAUUAGAUACCCUUGUAGUC